rnacentral:rRNA from 1 species
AUUGAACGCUGGCGGCAGGCCUAACACAUGCAAGUCGAGCGGAUGACGGGAGCUUGCUCCUUGAUUCAGCGGCGGACGGGUGAGUAAUGCCUAGGAAUCUGCCUGGUAGUGGGGGACAACGUUUCGAAAGGAACGCUAAUACCGCAUACGUCCUACGGGAGAAAGCAGGGGGCCUUCGGGCCUUGCGCUAUCAGAUGAGCCUAGGUCGGAUUAGCUUGUUGGUGAGGUAAUGGCUCACCAAGGCGACGAUCCGUAACUGGUCUGAGAGGAGGAUCAGUCACACUGGAACUGAGACACGGUCCAGACUCCUACGGGAGGCAGCAGUGGGGAAUAUUGGACAAUGGGCGAAAGCCUGAUCCAGCCAUGCCGCGUGUGUGAAGAAGGUCUUCGGAUUGUAAAGCACUUUAAGUUGGGAGGAAGGGUUGUAGAUUAAUACUCUGCAAUUUUGACGUUACCGACAGAAUAAGCACCGGCUAACUCUGUGCCAGCCGCCGCAGUAA